GACGAACGCUGGCGGCGUGCUUAACACAUGCAAGUCGAACGGAAAGGCCCUGCUUUUGUGGGGUGCUCGAGUGGCGAACGGGUGAGUAACACGUGAGUAACCUGCCCUUGACUUUGGGAUAACUUCAGGAAACUGGGGCUAAUACCGGAUAGGAGCUCCUGCUGCAUGGUGGGGGUUGGAAAGUUUCGGCGGUUGGGGAUGGACUCGCGGCUUAUCAGCUUGUUGGUGGGGUAGUGGCUUACCAAGGCUUUGACGGGUAGCCGGCCUGAGAGGGUGACCGGGCACAUUGGGACUGAGGUACCGCCCCGAACCCUUCGGGAGGCAGCAGUGGGGAAUAUUGCACAAUGGGCGGAAGCCUGAUGCAGCAACGCCGCGUGCGGGAUGACGGCCUUCGGGUUGUAAACCGCUUUCGCCUGUGACGAAGCGUGAGUGACGGUAAUGGGUAAAGAAGCACCGGCUAACUACGUG
rnacentral:rRNA from 1 species